AAACAUCCAUGUCGUCCAAAGAGACGUCAGCUUCGCAGUCAUAGAAUGUGUUUCUCUCUUCAUUCAUAUCUGUAGUAGGUACAUCAUCAGCAUUUAUUUCUUCAAGAACAUCAGCAGCUGUUUGAGCAUCUUUCCCAGUCGCUCGAUCUCUUGCGUAUAUGGCAGUAAGCUGGUUGUAGUAAGGGAAAGUACGAUGUCUGAA
rnacentral:lncRNA from 1 species